AAGCGUCCGACUCUCGAUUUUGGCUCAGGUCAUGAAUUCAAGGUUCAUGAGCUCGAGCCCCGCGUCGGGCUCUGUGCUGACGGCACAGCCUGCUUUGGAUUCUCUCUCUUUCUCUGUCCCCCUCCCCUGCUCGUGCUCACUCUCUCUCUCAAAAUAAAUAAGCAUUAAAAAAAUUCAGUUUUAUCAGCAGUAAGGGGGCAACACAAGGCCAGGAGGAAAACCGGCUUCCUGUCUCUGCCCCCAGCAUCCCUCAAGUAGAAAAGGUGAUUUAGGAAGAGACCGACCAAGCUGAUCUCAGUUCUUGCAGAAGCCUGCUGCGAUUUACUACGGAGACAGACCUCUCAGAACAGCCUGGGGCAGCGGGCCCUUCGGCAGGACGGGCAGCGAUCACGGGACGGUGUUACUGGCUAUCCUGUGUGUGCAUGCUGCCGUAGAAAUCCCCAGGGAAUUUUAUAAUAAUUUGCAUGACUGUUCCCACCCCCCCCCCCAAGGUACUAUUUUUUUCAAAUUAUAAAAAAUCUCAAUUGUACAUAAGUGGAAAGAAUGAUGCAGGGAACUUCCCAUAUCCACCACCCAUCUUAACAGUUUUACCAACAUAGGGCCAUUCUUGUGUCCUCUCGUGUUCCCACCACCCUCCCCCAUUCCGGUGGUUGAAGCAAAUCCCUGAUGUCGUGUUACAGGGGUUGGGGGUGACUCAGCUCCUGUGAUUGGUGGUCUCGUGUGAAAUCUAUCAUUGAGAACAGUUGUGUGUUGGGGUGCCUGGGUGGCUUGGUUGAUUAAGCAUCCGACUUAAACUUUUAACUUAAAAAAAAAUUUUUUUUUAAUGUUUAUUUACUUUUGAGAGAGAGAGAGAGAGACAGCGUGUGAGCCGGGGAGGGGCAGAGAGAGAGGGAACCACAGAUUCCGAAGCAGGCUCCAGGCUCCGAGCUGUCAGCACAGAGCCCGACACGGGGCUCGAACCCAUGAACUGUGAGAUCAUGAUCUGAGCCGAAGUCAGAUGCUUAACUGACUGAGCCAUCCGGGCACCCCAAACUUAACUUUUUUAAAUGUUUUACUUAUUUUUGAGAGAGAGAGUGUGUGAGCAGGGGAGGGGCAGAGAGAGGGAGACACAGAAUCCGAAGCAGGCUCCAGACUCCGAGCUGUCAGCACAGAGUGCGACACGGGGCUCGAACCCAUGAACUGUGAGAUCAUGACCUGAGCUGAAGUUGGACGUAAAUUUUUUUUUUUUUUUUUUUUUAAGAAAAAGAAAACAGCUGUGUGCCAUGCUGGCUCCUGCCCUGUGGGCUCGAGGACAGAGGGUCCCAGCAGCUUGCCUCCUGUGUCCCCACUGCCGCAGAAACACAGAUGGUGCUGGAACAGCCGGGCAAGCCCAUGAGCCUUUCUUUAAAUCCUCUCCUGGCCCAGGGUUGGCCACAGCGGCUCUAGAGCUCCCUUCCACUCUGCCAUUCCUCCCAGGAAGGUUUGUCACCUGCCUGGGCCACAGCGUUGAAUGGGACACUGAAAUGAUACAGGGAAGGCUCCCACGUAACUGGCUGUUUGGGUUAGGGCUCCAGUUAGGGGAGAAAAAGAAUUAAGGUCCUCAAAACCUGCAAGGUGAGGUUUUAGAAAAACAUAGUUUCUCCAUCUUAUUUUUCAUCUGGAGCUUCCAUGGUCCCUGUGAGGUUUGGGGGGAGGCCCAGGUCCAGAAGGUUCCCCACACCGAGCAACCGUGGAGCCCGGAGCCCCCACCGCACCCCACUCCGUCUGAGCCUGUGAGAUCAGGACUCCUGGGUGGGAAGUAACAAGUGGCCAACGAUUGUUGUCAUUUUUCCUUCUCGUUUCCCAACCUGUGGCACUAACUUAUGGAAAGAGGACUGACCCUGUGACCAGGUCCCUGUCCCCAGCACACCCUCUCCAUCCCCCGACCUUGGCCUGGGGCAGGGCAAGGCCCCUUUCCAUGAAGCAAGAGGCUUGACUUUCAUUCCCUUAGAAGGUUUUUGCAUGAAGCAGAGAAAGCAGACAUGAGAAUUGCUACUUUUAAAUGAAAAUGGUCUAUUGGGAUGUUUCAGUUGAAGGAA